UACGAAGGGGGCUAGCGUUGCUCGGAAUCACUGGGCGUAAAGGGUGCGUAGGCGGGUCUUUAAGUCAGGGGUGAAAUCCUGGAGCUCAACUCCAGAACUGCCUUUGAUACUGAGGAUCUUGAGUUCGGGAGAGGUGAGUGGAACUGCGAGUGUAGAGGUGAAAUUCGUAGAUAUUCGGCGGAACACCAGUGGCGAAGGCGACUCACUGGCCCGAUACUGACGCUGAGGCGCGAAAGCGUGGGGAGCAAGCAGG
rnacentral:rRNA from 1 species